rnacentral:rRNA from 1 species
GUAUGCGGAGGUCAUUACGAGUUUUUGAAGGGGUUGUAGCUGGCCGAAAAACAAGGCAUGUGCACACCCUGCUCAAUCCACUCUUAACCCCUGUGCACUUACUGUAGGCUUUGGUGGGAUGGCUGACUUCGGUUGGCUUGAAAGCCUUGCCUAUGUCUAUUACAAACACUAAAGUAUAAGAAUGUAACAUAGCGUCUAACGCAUUAAAUACAACUUUCAGCAACGGAUCUCUUGGCUCUCGCAUCGAUGAAGAACGCAGCGAAAUGCGAUAAGUAAUGUGAAUUGCAGAAUUCAGUGAAUCAUCGAAUCUUUGAACGCACCUUGCGCUCCUUGGUAUUCCGAGGAGCAUGCCUGUUUGAGUGUCAUGGAAUUAUCCACUUUCAAAACUUUUGUUAUGGAAGCUGGGACUUGGAGGUCGUGUCGGCUUAGGUCGACUCCUCUGAAAUGUAUUAGCGUGAAUCUUACGGAUCGCCUUCAGUGUGAUAAUUGUCUACGCUGUGGUGUGAAGUAUACUAGUGUUCGUGCUUCUAACCGUCCUUCGGGACAAUUACUUGACCAUUUGACCUCAAAUCAGGUAGGACUACCCGCUGAACUUAAGCUACAAAAAGGGGGGGGAAAAAAAUUUGG